AAAAUGGCAAAGACAGGUGAAGAGAUGAAAAGUACACUGGAUGAAAGAGAAGAAAAUGCAAACAGAGAACCUGCUUUUCUGUUUUUUCAUAUACCCACUCAGUGAUGGAUGGGCUCUGGAUUAGCUUUUUAUAUGUAGGAUGAAUAAUUUAAAGAAACAGAUGGAAAAUAAAAC